UGCGUAGGCGGACUAUUAAGUCAGUGGUGAAAUCCUGCGGCUCAACCGUAGAACUGCCAUUGAUACUGAUAUUCUUGAAUAUAGUUGAGGUAGGCGGAAUGUGUAAUGUAGCGGUGAAAUGCUUAGAUAUUACACAGAACACCGAUUGCGAAGGCAGCUUACUAAACUAUUAUUGACGCUGAUGUACGAAAGCGUGGGGAGCGAACAGGAUUAGAUACCCUGGUAGUCC
rnacentral:rRNA from 1 species